rnacentral:rRNA from 1 species
UACGGGGGGGGCAAGCGUUGUCCGGAAUUAUUGGGCGUAAAGAGCGUGUAGGCGGCCCGGUAAGUCCGCUGUGAAAGUCCAGGGCUCAACCCUGGGAUGCCGGUGGAUACUGUCGGGCUCGAGUCCGGAAGAGGAGUGUGGAAUUCCUGGUGUAGCGGUGAAAUGCGCAGAUAUCAGGAGGAACACCAAUGGCGAAGGCAGCACUCUGGGACGUGACUGACGCUGAGACGCGAAAGCGUGGGGAGCAAACAGG